UUGUUUUUGAAGAUUCUCUUCGGUGUGUUUGGGAGUUUAAAUGAAACCAAAUCAAGUUUUGAGUUGUUCCCUCUUCAACUAAAAUUCGUGCCUGGGAAGACCCCCCUCCCCCCGAUCCUUAAGAGCAGCUGCUGACAGUGAAUGUGCAGAGUCCGAGCUCUGCCCGGCGUGAAGUGUUGUGAUGCACCUCGCUUACCUUGCAGUGCGGGUACAGAUUAUCUCCCCCUCCCCUUUAUUCCCUCCACCAUGGAAAUUAAAAUGGCAAGACAAAAUGUGGAUCUGUUUAAACCAGCGUCUCCCCGCUGUUUGACCAUUAAUAUCGAAAACCUCCCAAACAGAUCGGUGCUCUCGCCUUCGCCUCACUCGGCAUCACAGCAAAGCGCAGAUACAUACAUUUCCUAUCGCAACGUACAAGAGCAGAGGGGAAACUUCAUUGAAAGACUGGAUUUCAGGAGUGGAAAAGGAAAGAUCACAAAAGGGACCGAUUGAUUCGGUUAUUGAUUUUCUCUCUUAGCCCUGUGAGAUUUCCCAUCUCCUGAUAGGGAUAUGAGCAAUUCUAGCCCAUUGGUGGAAAUCGAUACAUUUUUUGCACCGGGAUCGAAGUCUGGUUUAGGGUGAGUGUUACUCGCUUUUACUGACGUGAAAACUGAGCACAAGGCGAUAUUUUAGCGUCUGGUGUUUGAUUCAUUCCGAAACACGGUUUAAUUCAACGACGGAAGUUUUAAGCCAAGAACCUAAAUCUGUGCAUAGGUGAUGUUCUAGGGGGAUCUAUCGCUCCUAUGUAAAUAUGUACCUCUGUAUAUGCGCCCGUGUGUGUGUGUGUGGGGGGGGAUAUAAAUAUACACGUACAUACCUGUGUGGGGGGCGGCUUCACAGACUGAGGGGUAACAAGACCAGAUUUCCCCAGAUGGGUCGCACAACCUGGUUUGACACCGCGAUCCGUCCCCACUAAACAUGCGAAGGGGGCUUACUUACAAUGAAGACUCGACUCAACAAGGACAGAAGUGAGCCCCUGCGCCUCUGCUGCACCUGAAACCUUUUCGUUUCCAGAAGCAGGUGCCAAGUGCGUGCGAUUGGGAGAGUGUCCUUCACAAAUAAAUGCCCUUACGGGGCAGUUGCGCGAUCUCCUCGCGCCGAGCGAAACUAUUUUUUUCUGUAGGCGGCAGGGCCGGCAGCAGGGCUCCGAUUAAAUUCUUCCCAACUCUUUCCUCCUUUGUUUUGUUUUGUUUUUUACCGAAAGGCAACGAUCUCCCAAGAUUUCAGCCCCCUUCAAAAGCAGCUGACACAUCAAAGCUAGAUGGUUUCCAAACUAGUCCAAACUGAUUUCACUUUCUACAAACUAAAUCUUCAUCUCGCCUUUUACGUAAAUAUUUCUGCGAGGCUGCAGGAGCCGUGUUGUUUGCUUUGAUUUUGUUUUAAUCGCUGUUCACGCCCUCCCCCUCCCCUGCUCAGUACCAAAGCGAUCUGGUAAAGUGCAGGACAGGAAACCAUAGCAAAGGGCCACGUACAGACUUCCCGCACUCGUGUCCAUUAAGGCAAGUUUUCUCUCUGCCCACGUGUUUACGGUCGUUUCCCAUCCCAGAGAAAUCAUUUUCAGGCUCUAGGAACAGCAACCAACUCGCUUGAAAUACCCCUUCGAUCCGAUCCGAUCCGAUCCGAUCCGGUGUUGCUUUCUCUGGAGGAAAGCACGGGGACCUGGAUACAUUUGGCUAAAAGGACGGUUAUUACAUGAUGCGCGACGUGUAUUUCUUGUGUUGGUUUUGCUGCAGCGGGAAAGCAGGGAAUUCGGAUUAUGAAGACGUGAACCCUAAAAAGCCAGCAAAACUUAAAGAUGUAUGGGGGGGGGGGGCACAGCACGCUGUUGGCAGCAGGAUACUGAGCCCUUGUGACCAGGACGGGCAGGUAAAAGAAAAAAAGAGAAAAAGAAACGAGUUAGUAGUUAGCCCUACACAGAGGGGACGCGGGAAUUAAGGCUGCCCAGACUGCAUCUCCGCUUCAGCUAAGCCGAGGACCAAACCUAAUGGAUGGGGUGUCAGUUCCUCGAGCUGCAAGGGGGAGGGGGUGGAGACAGAAGGGAUUAAAAAAGGAUACAAGCGAGCUCUGUUUUUCUUUUGUUUAAGGGAUCAUCGCCUAAAAGUUAACCGAAGAAGUGAUUUAGGUUAGGUAUCAGGGAAAACUUUCUCACAAGAAGGGUAGUAAAGCACUGGAACUGGCAACCCGGAGAGGUGGUGGACUCUCCAUCCUUGGAGGUUUUUAAGCCCCGGGUAGACAAAGCCUUGGCUGAGAUGAUCUCGCUGGGGAUGGCCCUGCGUUGAGCAGGGGGUUAGGCUGGAUGCCCUCCUGAGGUCCCUUCCCACCCGAGUUUUUCUGUGAUUGUCAGACAACAAACAAACAACCCCCAAUCCCUGCACGCAUCGCAGGCGGGUUUUGCUAGCCAAAGGGAGAGGGCGGGGCGGGGGGACACGACCUCUUUACCUCUAAGGAAGACUGAGAAGAAAAGAAAGUGAAAUGAUUUGGUUUAUCUCCUGUGGCCACACAGGAACCCCGGCCACUACACCACCGGGCUAUCACUGCACACUGGAGAGGCGCAGAUAACGCGGCUACAUAUAGAGGCGCGGAGGUGUCGCUCGGAUCCCGCGCGGGCCGCGCUGUGUGGCCGGGCGGCGGCGGGUGCCGGGGACGCCCUUGGGCGGCUGCACGCAGGACAAGGCGCUUGUUCAUGUCACUGCUUGGGGGCGGCCGGGGGGGCGGGGGGAGCCCAUGUGUUGCUCUUCCUCGAGGUACUGAUUUAAUGAAACUUUAAAGCGUUUAAGGAAGCGAUCAAGGCUCACGAGCUCCCCGCGCACGGCGCGUCCUGCCUGCACAUUAAAGGUGGCUUGCCAGGGUUGAUUUUGAUUUCUACAUGGCUUCCCAAUUGAUAUUACUCCCGCCCCCCACCCCCUCCAUCUCCCCCUUCAAGAAAAGAGAUUUUGGAUAUCUGAUCUUCAAGCACAUUACUACUAAGCAUGUGCUGGGAUGUGGUUAUGGUUUCUUUGUAAGCAGCCAUAGUCUGAUACUGGACUUCAUCAAGCUAGUGUAAAUUAGGAGGAAUUCUACUAAAGCCAACAGCGGGGGGCUGCGAGGUAAACAGCCUGUUCUAACUUUUAUCUGAGCCUAAUUUGCACAAAAUAAACCAUUCCAACCUGGAGACACCUUCAGCUCUCCUGUGAACUACGAUUUUUCAUUUCCACCUAGGAGAAAUUUUACAAUCUUUGCAUUCUCCUAUGCUCGAGGAAGGGUGUGUGCACCCAAAAGCUUGCAAAUACAGAUUUUUUUUGCAAAUAUCUAGCUGGUCUAAUAAACGAUAUCAUCUCUGCCACAA